rnacentral:rRNA from 1 species
UACGGGGGGGGCAAGCGUUGUUCGGAAUUACUGGGCGUAAAGGGCUCGUAGGCGGCCAACUAAGUCAGACGUGAAAUCCCUAGGCUCAACCUAGGAACUGCGUCUGAUACUGGAUGGCUUGAAUCCGGGAGAGGGAUGCAGAAUUCCAGGUGUAGCGGUGAAAUGCGUAGAUAUCUGGAGGAAUACCGGUGGCGAAGGCGGCUCACUGGCCCGGUACUGACGCUGAGGUGCGAAAGCGUGGGGAGCAAACAGG